rnacentral:misc_RNA from 1 species
CCAAACUUGGUCAUUUAGAGGAAGUAAAAGUCGUAACAAGGUUUCCGUAGGUGAACCUGCGGAAGGAUCAUUAACGCGCCGUGAAGGUCACCUUUUAAACAGGUAUGACCUUUCACCUGGCCACCCUUGUUUACCUUUCACCUGUUGCUUUGGUGGGCCCGCUAUUUAGGCCGCCGGAGAACCUAAAAGGUUCUCUGGCCCGUGCUCACCAGAGUCUUCUUGAACUCUUAAGGUUUUUUUUUUUUGGCUGUCUGAGCAUCGAAGAAGCAAUUUUUUUUAAAACUUUCAACAACGGAUCUCUUGGUUCUGGCAUCGAUGAAGAACGCAGC